rnacentral:rRNA from 1 species
CAGUCGCCGCGGUAAUACGAAGGGUGCAAGCGUUACUCGGAAUUACUGGGCGUAAAGCGUGCGUAGGUGGUGGUUUAAGUCCGUUGUGAAAGCCCUGGGCUCAACCUGGGAAUUGCAGUGGAUACUGGAUCACUAGAGUGUGGUAGAGGAUAGUGGAAUUUCCGGUGUAGCAGUGAAAUGCGUAGAGAUCGGAAGGAACAUCUGUGGCGAAGGCGACUAUCUGGGCCAACACUGACACUGAGGCACGAAAGCGUGGGGAGCAAACAGGAUUAGAUACCCCCGUAGUCCCUGUCUCUUAUAA